rnacentral:rRNA from 1 species
GGGUCUGACUCCGAUGCUCUAGAUUACGCGAAGAACUUACCUACUCUUGACAUCCAGAGAAACCAGCGGAGACGCAGGUGUGCCUUCGGGAACUCUGAGACAGGUGCUGCAUGGCUGUCGUCAGCUCGUGUUGUGAAAUGUUGGGUUAAGUCCCGCAACGAGCGCAACCCUUAUCCUUGUUUGCCAGCGAGUAAUGUCGGGAACUCCAGGGAGACUGCCGGUGAUAAACCGGAGGAAGGUGGGGACGACGUCGAGUCAUCAUGGCCCUUACGAGUAGGGCUACACACGUGCUACAAUGGCGCAUACAGAGGGCAGCCAACUUGCGAAAGUGAGCGAAUCCCAAAAAGUGCGUCGUAGUCCGGAUUGGAGUCUGCAACUCGACUCCAUGAAGUCGGAAUCGCUAGUAAUCGUAGAUCAGAAUGCUACGGUGAAUACGUUCCCGGGUCUUGUA